rnacentral:rRNA from 1 species
GAUGAACGCUAGCGAUAGGCUUAACACAUGCAAGUCGAGGGGCAGCACAAGGUAGCUUGCUAUCUGGGUGGCGACCGGCGCACGGGUGCGUAACGCGUAUGCAACUUUCCCUAUACAGGAGGAUAACCCGUCGAAAGACGGACUAAUACUGCGUAUGCUCACAACUUGGCAUCAAGUGGUGAGGAAAGAAAUUCGGUAUAGGAUAGGCAUGCGUCCCAUUAGCUUGUUGGUGAGGUAACGGCUCACCAAGGCAACGAUGGGUAGGGGAACUGAGAGGUUUAUCCCCCAGACUGGUACUAAGACACGGACCAGACUCGUACGGGAGGCAGCAGUGAGGAAUAUUGGGCAAUGGGCGCGAGCCUGAACCAGCCAAGUCGCGUGAAGGAUGACUGUCUUAUGGAUGGUAAACUUCUUUUAUACGGGAAUAACAAGAGUCACGUGUGACUCCCUGCAUGUACCGUAUGAAUAAGCAUCGGCUAACUCCGUG